UGACCUCUACAGUUUUAUAAUCACUAA
rnacentral:piRNA from 1 species